rnacentral:rRNA from 1 species
CCAUUUGCCUCUUAAUUAGAGGCUAGUAUGAAUGGUUGAACGAAAUACAAACUGUCUCACUUUAAAAAUUUUAAAAAUUUAGCUUCCUAGUCAAAAGGCUUGGAUAAGGUUAGAGGACGAGAAGACCCUAUAGAACUUUAUAAUAUUAUUUAUGAAUUUAAAUAGUAAAAAAAUUUUUUUUUCAUAAUUUAUUUUAUUUUGUUGGGGUGACAGGAAAAUAAAUUUAACUUUUCUGAAUUUUAUACAUUGAUUUAUGAUUAUUUGAUCCAUUAAUAGUGAUUAUUAGAAUAAGUUACCUUAGGGAUAACAGCGUAAUUUUAUUGGAGAGUUCAAAUCGAUAAUAAAGUUUGCGACCUCG